UGAAAUCUCGGUGCUCAACACCGAAACUGCGUCUGAAACUGCGGGUCUAGAAUCUUGGAGGGGGAGUGGGAAUUUCGCAUGUAGGGGUAAAAUCCGUAGAGAUGCGAAGGAACACCAGAGGCGAAGGCGCACUCCUGGACAAGUAUUGACGCUGAGGCGCGAAAGCGUGGGGAUCAAACAGGAUUAGAUACCCUGGUAGUCCACGCUGUAAACGAUGAGCACUAGAUAUUGUGGGAUUUGACCCCCGCAGUGUCGUAGCUAACGCGUUAAG
rnacentral:rRNA from 1 species